rnacentral:rRNA from 1 species
UGGGGAAUUUUGGACAAUGGGCGAAAGCCUGAUCCAGCAAUGCCGCGUGCAGGAUGAAGGCCUUCGGGUUGUAAACUGCUUUUGUACGGAACGAAAAAGCUUCUCCUAAUACGAGAGGCCCAUGACGGUACCGUAAGAAUAAGCACCGGCUAACUACGUGCCAGCAGCCGCGGUAAUACGUAGGGUGCGAGCGUUAAUCGGAAUUACUGGGCGUAAAGCGUGCGCAGGCGGUUAUGUAAGACAGAUGUGAAAUCCCCGGGCUCAACCUGGGAACUGCAUUAGUGACUGCAUAGCUGGAGUACGGCAGAGGGGGAUGGAAUUCCGCGUGUAGCAGUGAAAUGCGUAGAUAUUUGGUAGAACACCAAGAGCGAAGGCAGCUUGCUGGACAGAAACUGACUCUGAGAGACGAAAGCGUGGGGAGCAAACA